rnacentral:lncRNA from 1 species
GAUUUUGGUCCUUUGGUUUGGGCUUCUCUUGUCUUUUGGCUUUGAGGGGUCCGGAUAGCAUUUGUCUUGUGAUUCUCCUAGCAUCAUUGACUUGUAUAAUUUUGUAAAAGUAAAAAUAAAAAUAAAAAUGAAACAAAAAUAAAAUAUUAGACUAAUAAAUAAAUAAAUAAUUGAAAAUAAAAAAUGCAAAUAAAACAAACAUAAGGCAUAUAU